rnacentral:lncRNA from 1 species
AUGUAUGGUGCCUGUGUGUGUGAACCAGGGUGCUACGGGAGGUUUUGUCAUCCGACUAAGUCACAAGCACUAAUUGUUUUCUGUGUGAAGCGUAACAGCUCAGAGAAGUAUGAACAACGUACCCGACUUCAAAGGGCAGAGGAGGAUCCAGUUUACGUGCCUGCUCUGAGGCCCUCUGGGGCCCAGAAUGCUGCUUCCCCUGUGGGUCCGGUGAGAACGGAGGUCAAUCGCAACAAAAAACCUGGUGACUGUGAUUGCGCUCCUGGUUACACAGGGAAACCCUGUGCCCGGAGUGAGAAACCUGGAAAGGAUAACCAACAGUCGAUACAACGGCUAGCUUCAUAAAUCCUCAUUUACCUAACUGGUAUACAAGGUACUGUUAUGUUAGCACAUAUUCCAGCAAUCUAUUGUGCAACAAGCC